CAGUAGCCGCGGUAAUACGAAGGGUGCAAGCGUUAAUCGGAAUUACUGGGCGUAAAGCGUGCGUAGGCGGUUUGUUAAGUCUGUUGUGAAAUCCCCGGGCUCAACCUGGGAAUGGCAAUGGAUACUGGCAAGCUAGAGUGUGUCAGAGGAUGGUGGAAUUCCCGGUGUAGCGGUGAAAUGCGUAGAGAUGUGGAGGAAUACCGAUGGCGAAGGCAGCCCCCUGGGCCAAUACUGACGCUCAUGCACGAAAGCGUGGGGAGCAAACAGGAUUAGAUACCCGCGUAGUCCCUGUCUCUUAUAC
rnacentral:rRNA from 1 species